rnacentral:misc_RNA from 1 species
AUGAUUAGGUUGACAUGUGCGAUUUUAAAGAGAGAUUUUCAUAAUUCAUUAAUUAUACACAAACACCAUUACAUUACAAAUAUACAAUAUACAUACAACUAUAUAUAUAUCAUUGCGAAUAAAAAAUAAAAAUCAGAGGCGCUCAGCAGCAGCGGCUCAGCUCAACUCUGUCUCGGAUGCCUUCAUUUCAAUCAUCAUCACGAGUAACAGCAAACAAAAGCAUGAAAAUUUUUCUCUACCAAUAAAAUGUUUACUUAAAAACGACGUCGAUUCUUUAAAAGAUGACCUCCUAAUUAAUUAAUUAACAGGAAGACAAAGUAGAGAGAGUGGUAGCAGACGAUGUUCUUGGAGAUGUGUAUGGCUGCUGUUUUAUUACCACAGUUGGAAGAAUGCUUGUUUUUCUCUUCUCAUGCUCCUUUAUUAGCUCUCCAGCAAAUGACUCUAGCUUCUCUAUAUUUGUGCUCUCUGCUAUCUUUCUUCCUUCAAACAAUACAGACUCUACAUUUUUCUGUUCAAGCAUCUCUUCUGCCAUGCUCAAUAUGUCUGCUUUCUUCUUUAGUUUUACUGCCUUUUCUAUAACAUCACCUUGCUUCUUUGCUAUAAUGCCGUUUGCCUAAAUUCAAUUUACACAAGUUAUUGAAUUUUUUUUAUUGAUUAAUUAAACUUUAAUUAGAAUUUAAAUUUGUAAAAUGAAUAUAAUUACCUGAAUGCGAACAUAAUUGCUUGUCCGACACUGACCAAACGCCAUCGAUACAGCUUGAUCAACCACAUCGGAAGCUCCUUCUCCGGCGAUCGUCACGAAUCUCGACAGCGAAGAGUUCAGAUUUUCAUUUCCAAAAUCAGACUCUCCACCGCCGAGAGAAACCACCAGCAGAUCCUCUACCCCUUUGCACAAAGGAAAUUCCUGCUUAUUAUUCAAUACGUGCGUAAUAGCAGCAGCCGUUGGAUUGUUCAUCGCGAUCCUGCCGUCGAUUGCCACGAUCUUCGUCUUCUUGUCCACGGACCUCAUUUCGACGGCUCCAUUGACCGUCGGAUCAGCUGACGUGGCGCGGCACACAUCGCUCAUCUUGAAAUCAUAACCGUCCAUUUCCAAAGCAUCAGCGCGGGAGAAGACGAGCGGUGCGCGGGUUGAGAGAUCGUAGCAGGGAAUCAAAACCGACUUAAGCGUGUCUUUCAAGGUGCAUUCCCCGAAAGUAGAGCGUAAGAGCUUCUCCACCUUCCCCCGCCGGAAAAUCCGCCGGAGAAUCCCUCUCGAUGAAGGUGAGUGGUUAAAAUUCCGACGAUUCUCAAUCAUAAAACGAAGAGCUUCAUCGGCUGUGAACAAGGGACGGCCAUGGUCUUUUCCACGGGUGAAAAGGAGUGCAGCUAAGAUGCCUCCAGCACCGGAGCCAGCAACAACAUCAAAGUAAUCAGCGAUGUAGGCGUUGGAAUUGCCGGAUUUGCGGCGGAGGCAAGAUUCGAGGUGGGCGAGGGACUUGGCUGCGAGAAUGCCACUUUUAGUGCCGCCACCGUCGAUGGAGAGAAUUCUAACUUUACUAUCAGUGACAUGGUUAGUGGAAAUUUGAUGGGUAUUUUGAGGGAGAGAGAGCUUGGGAUUGUUCUCAUAUCCACCGCCGAAAAGGAAUUUGUUUUCGAGGAUGGAGAAGAUUUCGAAAGUUAGCUUGUCAACGUCGAAGGUCGAGUCAAGCAUUGAAGGUGUUGUGUUCACUGCCGCCAUUGCUGUGUCUCUGUGUGCACUUUAGAGAGAGGAAGAGAGAGGAGUAGAGGAGUGGGGGAUGAGGAAGAUAGAGGGGCGUUGAGGAUGCUUAUAUAGUGAGGAAAUAAAGAUGAUUGAUGGCAUGGAGGAACAUUCCUUGGUAGGCGAUUAAUCGGCAUGCCAAGUUUAGUUUGGUUUUUUU